rnacentral:rRNA from 1 species
GAUGAACGCUGGCGGCGUGCCUAAUACAUGCAAGUCGAGCGAACAGAUGAGGAGCUUGCUCCUCUGACGUUAGCGGCGGACGGGUGAGUAACACGUGGAUAACCUACCUAUAAGACUGGGAUAACUUCGGGAAACCGGAGCUAAUACCGGAUAAUAUAUUGAACCGCAUGGUGCAAUAGUGAAAGACGGUUUUGCUGUCACUUAUAGAUGGAUCCGCGCCGCAUUAGCUAGUUGGUAAGGUAACGGCCUACCAAGGCAACGAUGCGUAGCCGACCUGAGAGGGUGAUCGGCCACACUGGAACUGAGACACGGUCCAGACUCCUACGGGAGGCAGCAGUAGGGAAUCUUCCGCAAUGGGCGAAAGCCUGACGGAGCAACGCCGCGUGAGUGAUGAAGGUCUUCGGAUCGUAAAACUCUGUUAUUAGGGAAGAACAAAUGUGUAAGUAACUAUGCACGUCUUGACGGUACCUAAUCAGAAAGCCCCGGCUAACUACGUG